GACGUAGGGCGCGAGCGUUGUCCGGAUUUAUUGGGCGUAAAGAGCUCGUAGGCGCUUGUCGCGUCGACUGUGAAAUCCCGCGGCUCAACUGCGGGUCUGCAGUCGAUACGGGCAGGCUAGAGUUCGGUAGGGGAGACUGGAAUUCCUGGUGUAGCGGUGAAAUGCGCAGAUAUCAGGAGGAACACCGAUGGCGAAGGCAGGUCUCUGGGCCGAUACUGACGCUGAGGUGCGAAAGCGUGGGGAGCAAACAGG
rnacentral:rRNA from 1 species